UAAUCAUGUACCAUUCUGCCACAGUUUUAUCCUGAAUACUUUCUAUUCAGUCUUAGAAGUUGUUUGCUGUUGUUGAAGUGAUCACACGAUGUUCUGUGUUAAGACUCGGAUACCAUGUUACAUUCUGUGUAUAGUCCAGAUUGUAUCCAGUCUACAUGUUAGACAAGAUGAGAGAACACGACUACAAACAGCCUACAGAAAUACUCUAGAGAAACUGGUGUUAGCAGAAAAUUACAUUAAAGAAACUAGGGAGAAUUUGGAAUCUUUUAGUGAAUUGUUAAACCUAGAAGAAACCAUAUUAACAGGAGAAACAGAUAAAGAUAAUGAUAAAGAUAACAAAGAAACAGUAUCAGAUGGGAUGUCAGAUGUAUAUGAAAUACUUGACAGUCGAAAUGUUUGGAAGAGAAUUGAGAACGGGACUCGACCACAACACGCAACGAGUCUUCGAUCUGAUAAUAAAAAUAUAGAAUUAAAUCUGGAGGACAAACAGCUAGAAGAGGAAAUAUCUCAGGUUAAUAUCAGUGAAAUUAAAGUACGCUAUUUGAUAGAUGAAGUCAGGGAUUGCUUUAUUGUUUGCUGUGAAUUGGAAUUGAAUGCUACUGCUCCCAGAAUAACGGCUGAAUUAAUACUAUCACUUCUCCACUACCCUGUGACCAUCUUUCCUGAUACGUGUGAGAAUGGUGUCUGCCUUAUAGAUAACCAAGUGGGCAACCUCCAUAAACUGAUAUUUGUACAAAAACUCUUCUCCCAACCAACGAUUAAUUCACAAUAUGAACUGAUCUUUCACUUUACCCUCUCACAUGCUGAUCAGAUAUCACUAAGCUUUCAGUUUCACAAAAUUUCAAAUGUACUAAAUCCCACCAACACCAACAGGAAGUGAUUCCGGAAUACUCAGUACAAUACAUCAACCAAUCCAGCGUAGCGUAUGAUCCACGUGGCAACCAAACGAAGAUACGUUUGUUUUCAAAGGUAAGGGCGGACCCGAAAGAUUUAGCAGUUUUCGCAUCCUCAACUGGAUUUGAGACUGAUAAAUGGAAUUACAGGUACGAUGAACUCCCAGAUGAUGCACUUGAAUGGUCCGAAGGGAUGGUCACGGCGAAGUAUUUGAUUAAUUAUUCUGAUAAGCGUACAAACAAUGGUUUGUAUAAAACUGAGGCACAAUUUCGACCAUAUAAAGACAAUCCGAGUUUACGAUGGUAUUUGAUUGUAAAGCGAAUAUAUCGAGUUUUCCCAAACAAUCAAACGAGACCAAACUUGGUCUCAAAGAACUCGGUAGAAUGUUGGCGUCAAUCAUAUAGGGUAUUGAUUGGCUCGCCAUUUUCUUUAGAUUGUAACGUGUUUGGGUUAAGUUACCCCAGCGUGACGGUUUAUAAAAAUAUAAACGGAACUACAUCUGAUGAUUUUCCUGGUUUUGAGAUUCUGAAAUUUACCAACAAUGAUACGAUGAAAAUCAUAAUGACGACAUAUAGCAUGCAGCCAGAAGAUGGAGGCGAGUACGUCAUCAAAGCAGUUGCUAAUAAUAUAACUGUAUCUGAGACGGUACGACUGGUGGUCUCUGGCGAAAUGGUGCCAUGACUUAAACCAAUCGUAAUCUUCAAAAAUGAUAAAUUCCUGUAAAACAAAACAUAACAUUCCAAACUUCCAGAAUUUUGGUAGCUUGUUUCCAGACAAACGUACAAAAACACAAGUUUCAGU